UACAGAGGUCCCGAGCGUUGUUCGGAUUCACUGGGCGUAAAGGGUGCGUAGGUGGCGUGGUAAGUUUGAUGUGAAAGCUCAGGGCUUAACCCUGAAAUGGCAUUGAAUACUACUGUGCUGGAGGUUUGGAGGGGGGGACUGGAAUUCUUGGUGUAGCAGUGAAAUGCGUAGAUAUCAAGAGGAACACCAGUGGCGAAGGCGAGUCCCUGGACAACACCUGACACUGAGGCACGAAAGCCGGGGGAGCAAACAGG
rnacentral:rRNA from 1 species